UGGGGAAUAUUGCGGCAAUGGGGCGAAAGCCUGACGCAGCGACGCCGCGUGAGGGAUGAAGGUCUUCGGAUCGUAAACCUCUGUCAGAAGGGAAGAAUAAGCACUGUGCUAAUCAGCAGUGCCCUGACGGUACCUUCAAAGGAAGCACCGGCUAACUCCGUGCCAGCAGCCGCGGUAAUACGGAGGGUGCAAGCGUUAAUCGGAAUUACUGGGCGUAAAGCGCGUGUAGGCUGUAUGGCAAGUUGGAGGUGAAAUCCCACGGCUCAACCGUGGAACUGCCUUCAAAACUACCAAACUGGAGUGCGAGAGAGGAUAGCGGAAUUCCAGGUG
rnacentral:rRNA from 1 species